GUGUCUGUAGCUUAGCGGAUAGAGUGUUUAUUUCCCAACCAAAAGGUCGUGGGUUCGACCCCUAGCUGAUGCA
rfam:Spinacia oleracea cultivar SynViroflay scaffold4681.con0002.1, whole genome shotgun sequence.